rnacentral:rRNA from 1 species
AGCAGCCGCGGUAAUUCCAGCUCCAAUAGCGUAUAUUAAAGUUGCUGCAGUUAAAAAGCUCGUAGUUGAAUUUCGGGACUAAUAUGUCGGUCGUGCCUCGGUACGUACUGGUAUUUUUGGUUUCUCCCUUCUGACGAACCUUGAUGUCAUUAAUUUGGUGUCUUGGGAAAUCAGGACUGUUACUUUGAAAAAAUUAGAGUGUUUAAAGCAGGCUCACGCUUGAAUACAUUAGCAUGGAAUAAUGAAAUAGGACGUUUGAUUCUAUUUUGUUGGUUUCUAGGAUCGACGUAAUGAUUAAUAGGGAUAGUUGGGGGCAUUAGUAUUCAAUUGUCAGGGGUGAAAUUCUUGGAUUUAUUGAAGACUAACUACUGCGAAAGCAUUUGCCAAGGAUGUUUUCAUUAAUCAAGAACGAAAGUUAGGGGAUCGAAGACGAUCAGAUACCGUCGUAGU